GAUGAAGAACGUAGCGAAAUGCGAUAAGUAAUGUGAAUUGCAGAAUUCAGUGAAUCAUCGAAUCUUUGAACGCACCUUGCACCCUUUGGUAUUCCGAAGGGUAUGCUCGUUUGAGUGUCAUUGUACUCUCACACUUCUAAUUCCUUUCGGGAUUGGGAGCGGUGGACUUGGGUGUUGCUGCUUUAGUUGUGGCUCACCUCAAAUAAGUUAGUGCAACUCUUGGUUGGACAUAGUACGGCGUGAUAAGUGUCUUCGCCGGCGCCUCUGUAAGGAGGGUGGCCGAUCGGGAGCUCUGUGCUUCAAACCGUCUUCGGACAAUCUAUGACAACUUGACCUCAAAUCGAGUAGGACUACCCGCUGAACUUAAGCAUAUCAAUAAGCGGAGGA
rnacentral:misc_RNA from 1 species